CACUUCCUGCUACUGCAGGCCUCUCCUCCGAGAACAGAGCCCAGGUCAUGACUCACUGGUUUCCUUCAUCCUGAGGAUGGCCCAGCCAGAGGACAAGGCACCUGAAGUCCCCACAAAGGGGGAGAGGUGAGGGCUGCUGGGGCUGAGGCUAUGCCGUCCUUCCGCUACAUCCAGAAACCCUUUCCAUCCAACACCUCCCUCACUACAGAACCCUGAAUCGCAUCUCUUAGCCUCUGCCCUGGGCCUGCCCCUUCCUAUAACUUUGACCUCACCUCAAUGUCCCACUGCCCACCUCUGACCCCUGACCCCCUGGACACUGUCCAUCCCAGGCUGGUCCCACCACAGGUGAAAAAAGCAGACAGGACCCCUCUAGGGGUCCUCAGCACCCUAGAGCCACUUCUUCGCCUGCAGAGAACAUCGGGGGUAUGGCAUGUGCCAGAGCUGGAUACCCAGGAUGCGGAGGCCCUCGUGGGGCUGUGGCCAAUGGGGAGUUUCUUGGUCAUAGGACGUGACCCCAGCCAGGUCCUGGUGUUGAGGACAGGACUAUUACCGGGAGAAGUCAAGAGCUACCAGAUCCAGAAGACUGCCAGAGGUGUGUCCCUGGAAUCCUCCAACCUCUGCAUGCCAGACCUACCCCAUCUCCUGGCCUUUCUAUCAGCUAGCAGGGAUGUUCUGCCCAGAACCCUGCUCUUGCCCCCUCCCACUCUAGGGCCCAGAGAUGAACACACAGAUCCUCUGCAGAUUGGCAGGGUCCAACAGGACACCCUAGGGAAGGUGCUUUGCAUUGUGAACCAGCUCUACGUGGAGACCCACAGAGGCUGGGGGAGGGAGCAGACCCCUCGAGAAACAGAGUCAGAGGCCGCGCAGAGACAUGAUCCAGCCCCCAGGAACCCUGCACCUCACGGGGUCUCCUGGGUGAAAGGCCCGCUCAGCCCGGAAGUGGACCAUCCUGGGCCGGCUCUCCCCAGCCUCCUGGAGGAGGAGGAAGAAGACCCUGAAGGAAGGGAGGAAGGAAGGGAGGAAGGAAGGGAGGACGACCCUGAAGAGGAAGGCCCCGAGGAGGUGCUCACCAUUCACAUCCAGUCUCUGGUUAGGGCCCGUAGCAGCUACGUGGCCAGGCAGUACCGAAGCCUUCGGGUGCGCAUCGCCUCAGAUUCUGGGGGUCCCCACGGGUCUGGGGACCCGGCCACGGAGCUGCUUCAGGAUGUGCGCCACCUCCUUACUGACCUCCAGGAUCACCUGGCAAAGGACUCCUACAUCAGGGCUGUCUUUGGGAGCAGGGGUCCUGGGGUCCCCAAGAAGGACGAGGAUCCAGGCCCAGCGCUGGAGAUGGCCGUGUGCCAGGCGGUAUUGGCGCCCUUGAAGCCGGCCCUGUGGACGCGACUCCGCACACUCCGAGCACCGGAGCUGCGACUGCUGCGGCGGCGACAAACAGCCCUGCGGGCGGGGGCGGGGCCGGAGGGGCAGAGCCCCGCCCCCGCCUUGCGGAGUCGCAUCCACGAGCGCCUUGCACAUCUCCACGCUGCCUGCGCCCCGCGCCGCAAGGUGGCGCUUCUGUUAGAGGUGUGCAGAGAUGUCUACACGGGCCUGGCUCGGGGCGAGAACCAAGAUCCUUUGGGGGCCGACGCCUUCCUGCCGGCGCUGACUGAGGAACUCAUCUGGAGCCCAGAUAUUGGGGAGACGCAGCUAGACGUGGAGUUUCUUAUGGAGCUCUUAGAUCCAGACGAGCUGCGGGGAGAGGCUGGGUACUACCUGACCACGUGGUUUGGGGCGCUGCACCACAUUGCCCACUACCAGCCCGAAACAGACCGCGCUCCCCGGGGGCUCAGCUCCGAGGCCCGCGCCUCCCUGCACCAGUGGCACCGCAGGCGGACUCUGCACAGAAAGGAUCAUCCCAGAGCCCAGGCCAGCCUACCCUUUAAGGAGCCAUGGGCAGAAGAGACUGUGCCAGGGACCAAUGACGAUUAGGGGUUUCACACCGCUCCGCACACCCCUCCGUUCAUGCCUGUAAUCCCAACAUUUUGGGAGGCCAAGGUACUCUCUCAAGUGAAAUCUAUAAGCCUUAACCAAGGUUAUGACUUAACCAAGGAUGCAGGAGAUCUACAGCCGUCCUCCCAAAAUCUAGAACCGCUCCAAAGACAGCGCAAAGAAAGGAAAGUUUUGCUAGCUGCGAAUGGAGUACAGUUCAUAUUUCUCUCUGGCCAUAUUCUCUAGGAUCUCAGCUCCACAGAGUUGACUGUCUACACACAAAGGCCCAAAAGCCCUGAAUGCCCUCAGAUGGAAGAUAGGAAAUCAAAAGUUGUCUGUGGAAGCAAAAAGAAUCAAUAACGAGACCGGGCACGGUGGCUCACGCCUG